AAUCAACGCUGGCGGCGUGCCUAACACAUGCAAGUCGAACGAGGCGGAAGGGGGCAACUCCUUCCAGUCGAGUGGCGGACGGGUGAGUAACACGUGGGUAACCUGCCCGGAAGUGGGGAAUACCUCGGGGAAACUCGAGCUAAUACCGCAUGACAUCUUCGGGACGAAAGUCCUGACGAUCAAAGCGGGGUCGCAAGAUCUCGCGCUACCGGAUGGGCCCGCGCCCGAUUAGCUAGUGGUGAGGUAACGGCUCACCAAGGCUUCGAUCGGUAACCGGCCUGAGAGGGCGAUCGGUCACACCGGAACUGAGACACGGUCCGGACUCCUACGGGAGGCAGCAGUGGGGAAUCUUGCGCAAUGGGCGAAAGCCUGACGCAGCAACGCCGCGUGGAGGAUGAAGGCCCUUGGGUUGUAAACUCCUGUCGGCUGGGAAGAAAUCGUUCGCGGUUAAUA
rnacentral:rRNA from 1 species